UAGAAAGUAGUGUAAAGGAAGCACAGAGAAUUUUGAUUUCUCUAGAAAAGAUUCAAAACCUUUCUUUCUAG
rnacentral:tRNA from 1 species